UGUUUUACAGAGCUAUGUUUGGGCCCAUUAU
rnacentral:piRNA from 1 species